GACGAACGCUGGCGGCGUGCCUAAUACAUGCAAGUCGAACGCUUCUUUCCUCCCGAGUGCUUGCACUCAAUUGGAAAGAGGAGUGGCGGACGGGUGAGUAACACGUGGGUAACCUACCCAUCAGAGGGGGAUAACACUUGGAAACAGGUGCUAAUACCGCAUAACAGUUUAUGCCGCAUGGCAUAAGAGUGAAAGGCGCUUUCGGGUGUCGCUGAUGGAUGGACCCGCGGUGCAUUAGCUAGUUGGUGAGGUAACGGCUCACCAAGGCCACGAUGCAUAGCCGACCUGAGAGGGUGAUCGGCCACACUGGGACUGAGACACGGCCCAGACUCCUACGGGAGGCAGCAGUAGGGAAUCUUCGGCAAUGGACGAAAGUCUGACCGAGCAACGCCGCGUGAGUGAAGAAGGUUUUCGGAUCGUAAAACUCUGUUGUUAGAGAAGAACAAGGACGUUAGUAACUGAACGUC
rnacentral:rRNA from 1 species